rnacentral:rRNA from 1 species
AAUCAACGCUGGCGGCGUGCCUCAGACAUGCAAGUCGAACGAUUAAAGCUCCCUUCGGGGAGUGCAUAAAGUGGCGCACGGGUGAGUAACACGUAAGUAAUCUACCUUCGAGUGGGGAAUAACGUUCGGAAACGAACGCUAAUACCGCAUAACGCAGCGGCAUCGCAAGAUGACAGUUGUUAAAGGAGCAAUCCGCUUGAAGAGGAGCUUGCGGCAGAUUAGGUAGUUGGUAAGGUAAUGGCUUACCAAGCCUGCGAUCUGUAUCCGGUCUAAGGGGACGGUCGGACACACUGACACUGAAUAACGGGUCAGACUCCUACGGGAGGCAGCAGUCGGGAAUUUUGGGCAAUGGGCGAAAGCCUGACCCAGCAACGCCGCGUGAAGGAUGAAGUAUUUCGGUAUGUAAACUUCGAAAGAAUGGGAAGAAUCAAUGACGGUACCAUUUAUAAGCUCCGGCUAACUUCGUGCCAGCCGCCGCUGUAAGAC